UCGGAGUUUUAUCAUACAUUCAUACUAUCAUAAUAUAGAGUGAACACAUAUAACAACAAAAAUAUGUUAAGAUAUAUAGUGUUUUUUGUUUUUACGGGCACGUUCGCAAACGGAAUAAAUUGGCAUUCGUCGCAGAUCAUAUUAAGACAUCUCUAUGACUUACAAGACGAACAGUUUGCUGUAAUCAAAGAAUAUUUGGAACUGGAAACAAAGCGAAUUCACGACUUAGAGCGGUACAUAAAUUAUUUAUAUGAGAAAGACACUCUACUUAGUCCCAUUGGUACUUCAAAAUUUAUGUCACAGGUGUACAAAAACUUAUCAGAAAUAAAAAAAUUGAUGAAUAAUUAUAAUUCAGUGAAAGUCAUUAAUCAAUUUGACGAACACAAAGCCGUUAGUGAAUUUAAUAUGCAAUCAGCAUAUCGGUCUCUAAGAAGGAUUCAAAAAGUGUACGCGAUUCCUGCAUCUGAUAUGGCUGCAGGUAGAUAUAAGGAUCGGACCAUCGGAGACCCAAUGGAUGCUUGUGAAUGUUAUUUCAUGUCUAAAUAUAGUUUCGAAGAAUAUGACACAUACGGUGUAAUAGAUUGGGCUGUUCAAGCUUAUAAUAAAUGGUUCACCGAUCGUCCAAAAUGUGUAGACAUAGAUAAAUUGCAUUAUUAUACAAGAUCAGCAUCGAUGGCCACAGGAUUUAGUUUUGAAACUCUAUUGGGUUUUAGUAAUCUGAAUCAUUCAGAUUACACUGAACUUUCUGCACAUUUUUCUCUAAUGGCAAACGCAUUAAACAUUCGCGAUAUCAGUGCACAAUCUUCAGAUAAAAUAUAUGAUAAAUAUGAUGAUUUUGAACAAUCCAAUCUAUUUAGACAUUUCCGCUAUUUAUGUAGGGAAGGAAAAUCAGUGAGGCCCUUAACGUAUGAUUCUAAAUGCCGUUAUCAAACAAAAAAUUCUCCGUAUAGGAUGAUAAUGCCUUUCAAAGAAGAAGAUAUCAGUAGUAAUCCGAACAUAAAAUUAUAUCAUGACAUUAUUUAUGACGAAGAGAUUAAAACUAUUACUGAUAUGGCUUCGAAGGACUUGUCCGACGCAGCAUAUUACUUUAACGGUAAGAUUACUUUGUUGGACGACCAACGUCUGGGUCAGCUGAAAUGGUUUUCGGAAAAUGCAAACCCAAUCCUGUUUGGUAAGCUGAACGACCGUAUUGAAUGCAUUACCGAGUAUACGACCAAGACAGCCGAAGGAUAUCAAACAAUUAACUACGGCUUAGGCGGUCAUUUCUCUGUACACAUGGAUGCAUUUACAGAUGUUUUUAACUAGUUGGAUCUCCUAUCACCCAUACAAGCAGUUCCACCGUUAAAAUUAUGUUGUAAACAUUAAUUAAAUCACGUAUUUUCCACCAUACUUUUACUGAGGUUUUAAAUUAAACCUAAUACUUAGGGCCCUAAGUUGAACGGCAACAGAUUGGUCACCAUACUAUUUUAUAUGACUGACGUCCCCGAUGAUGGGUAUACUGUAUUUCCAAAUUUAAAUUAUGUUGCACAUUGUCG
rnacentral:misc_RNA from 1 species